UACGUACCGUCCAAACGUUAUUCGGUAUCACUGGGCUUAAAGCGUUCGUAGGCGGCCUGGAAGGUGUGAUGUGAAAGCCCACGGCUCAACCGUGGAAUUGCGUCGCAAACCACCAGGCUUGAGGAAGACAGGGGUGAAGGGAACUUAUGGUGGAGCGGUGAAAUGCGUUGAUAUCAUAGGGAACACCGGUGGCGAAAGCGCUUCACUGGGUCUUUACUGACGCUGAGGAACGAAAGCUAGGGUAGCGAACGGG
rnacentral:ncRNA from 2 species